UACGUAGGGCGCAAGCGUUGUCCGGAAUUAUUGGGCGUAAAGAGCUCGUAGGCGGCCUGUCGCGUCUGCUGUGAAAUCCCGGGGCUUAACCCCGGGCGUGCAGUGGAUACGGGCUGGCUGGAGGCAGGCAGGGGAGAAUGGAAUUCCCGGUGUAGCGGUGAAAUGCGCAGAUAUCGGGAGGAACACCGGUGGCGAAGGCGGUUCUCUGGGCCUGUUCUGACGCUGAGGAGCGAAAGCGUGGGAGC
rnacentral:rRNA from 1 species